GAUGAACGCUGGCGGCGUGCUUAACACAUGCAAGUCGAACGGGAUCCAAGGGGUGCUUGCACUUUUUGGUGAGAGUGGCGAACGGGUGAGUAACACGUGAGUAACCUGUCCUUUUCUUUGGGAUAAGCAUUCGAAAGGGUGUUUAAUACCUUAUGUUCUGUCUGCCUCGCAUGGGGUGGGUGGGAAAGGCUUUGGCCGGAUUUGGGUGGGCUCGCGGUCUAUCAGCUUGUUGGUGGGGUGAUGGCUUACCAAGGCUUUGACGGGUAGCCGGCCUGAGAGGGUGGUCGGUCACAUUGGGACUGAGAUACGGCCCAGACUCCUGCGGGAGGCAGCAGUGGGGGAUAUUGCACAAUGGGCGAAAGCCUGAUGCAGCGACGCCGCGUGAGGGAUGAAGGCCUUCGGGUUGUAAACUUCUUUUGCUCUGAACAAGGCAUGCCAGUGGGUGUGUUGAGUGUAGGGGUUGAUUAGCGCCGGCUAACUACGUG
rnacentral:rRNA from 1 species